CGUUGUAAUUCUUUUGUAGUAGUAGGAGCAGGCCAAUCAAUAAUACAUUUGAUUUUGGAAUUAUCCAUCUUCAAAGAAUGAGGUGAAAUAAUGUAUCCUAGAAAAGAGAAUUCAGUAACCUCAAAAAGGCAUUUUUCUGGUUUAGCGUAUAAUUUAUGAGUUCUCAGUCUAGAUAGAACCCAUCUAACAUGUUUCCUAUGUUCAUCCAAAUUAUUAGAAUAUAUUAAGAUAUCAUCUAAGUAGAUAAUAACACAUACAUCCAGAAGAUCUCUAAAGAUAUCAUUGAUAAAAUGUUGAAACGUUGCAGGGGCAUUACAGAGCCCGAAAGGCAUCACUAAAUAUUCGUAGAGACCAUAUCUUGUCCGGAAGGCGGUUUUCCAUUCAUCAUCCUGUUUUAUUCUAAUGAGGUUAUAUGCGCCUCGAAGGUCGAGUUUAGUGAAUAUAGUUGCAGUUCUUAACCUUUCAAUUAAUUCAUUUAUUAGUGGAAGAGGAUAACGAUUUUUAAUAGUUAUUUUAUUUAAGGCUCUGUAAUCUAUAAUAGGACGGAUGGUUUGGUCUUUAUUCUUCACAAAGAAAAUACUAGAAGCAGCAGGAGAGGUCGAGGGUCUGAUGAACCCUUUGCGUAAAUUUUCAUUAAGAUAUUCUUUUAAAAUUUCUAACUCCUUUUCAGAGAGUGGAUAAAUAUGACCAUAAGGAAUAGGGGCUCCGGGUAUGAGAUCUAUUGGGCAAUCAUAUAGCCGAUGAGGAGGAAGUGUUUCCGCUUCUUUUUUACAAAAAACAUCUGAAAAAUCGGAGUAGAAUGGAGGUAUAACUGGUUCUACAGUAGUUUGGAGAAUAGGAAUGUGUUGUAAGCACGUUUUUUUACAGAAAUCAGAAGCAAAGGAGAUGGAGAAGGGAGACCACUUAAUUAAAG